GGCUUCCUGGAGGUGCACUUCCCAGCAUGGCAAAUCCUGCACAGCGUGCAUAGAACAGCUUCAGAAAUGGCAAAGGCUCCAAGGGAAAGGAGAAGGCAUGAGAAAUCCCUCAAAUCAUUUGAAGGAAGGAUUGGUUCUGCUCCAGUGAAACCCUAUGAGACCUGUAGUUAACAUUAGGGGAAGAAUUGCAGUAGAAGUUUCAUUGCACUCUGCAGGUGUGAAACCUCCCUAUGCCCACGUUUGGUUUUCUAUGUACCUCACUGGGAGUGAUAUGGGUGCACAGGUAAUGGCUUCUUUC